UGCGCUAAAUGGCUGAAUCAGGAACUUGAGGC
rnacentral:piRNA from 1 species